rnacentral:rRNA from 1 species
GACGAACGCUGGCGGCGUGCUUAACACAUGCAAGUCGAACGGAAAGGCCCUGCUUGCAGGGUACUCGAGUGGCGAACGGGUGAGUAACACGUGGGUGAUCUGCCCUGCACUUCGGGAUAAGCCUGGGAAACUGGGUCUAAUACCGGAUAGGAGCCAUUUUUAGUGUGAUGGUUGGAAAGUUUUUUCGGUGUAGGAUGAGCUCGCGGCCUAUCAGCUUGUUGGUGGGGUAAUGGCCUACCAAGGCGGCGACGGGUAGCCGGCCUGAGAGGGUGGACGGCCACAUUGGGACUGAGAUGCGGCCCAGACUCCGACGGGAGGCAGCAGUGGGGAAGAUUGCACAAUGGGCGCAAGCCGGAUGCAGCGACGCCGCGGGGGGGAUGACGGCCUUCGGGUUGUAAACUCCUUUCGCUAGGGACGAAGCUUUUUGUGACGGUACCUAGAGAAGAAGCACCGGCUAACUACGUG